rnacentral:rRNA from 1 species
UCGCCUGUUUAUCAAAAACAUGGUCUUUUGUUUAUAUAAAAGAUUUGACCUGCCCGGUGAUUUAUUAAAUGGCUGCAGUAUAUUGACUGUACAAAGGUAGCAUAAUCACUUGUCUCUUAAUUGGAGUCUAGAAUGAAUGGUUGGAUGAAAAGUUUACUUUCUUUUUUUUAAUAUAAUAAAAUUUAAUUUUUGAAUUAAAAAGUUUAAAUUAUAAUAGAGGACGAGAAGACCCUAUAGAACUUUAUUUUUUUAUAUUAAUUAUUUUUUUGAUUAUAAUUUUCUAUUAAUAAAUAGAAAAUUAUGUUGGGGUGACAGGAAAAAACUAAUAACUUUUUUAAUUUUUUUCAUUUAUUUAUGAAUAUAUAAUCCCUUUUUAGGGAAGAAAGAUUAAGUUACCUUAGGGAUAACAGCGUUAUUAUUCUAGAGAGUUCAUAUUGAUAGAAUAGUUUGCGACCUCGAUGUUGGAUUAAAAUUAGUUUCAGGAGCAGAAAAUUGAAUAACUAGGUCUGUUCGACCUUUAAAUUUUUACAUGAUC